UACGCAGGCGGAAAAUUAAGUCAGUGGUGAAAUCCUGCAGCUUAACUGUAGAACUGUCAUUGAUACUGGUUUUCUUGAAUAUGGUUGAGGUAGGCGGAAUGUGUAAUGUAGCGGUGAAAUGCUUAGAUAUUACACAGAACACCGAUUGCGAAGGCAGCUUACUAAGCCAUGAUUGACGCUGAGGUACGAAAGCGUGGGGAGCGAACA
rnacentral:rRNA from 1 species